rnacentral:rRNA from 1 species
UACGAAGGGGGCUAGCGUUGCUCGGAAUACUGGGCGUAAAGCGUGCGCAGGCGGCGAUGUAAGACAGAUGUGAAUCCCCGGGCUCAACCUGGGAACUGCAUUUGUGACUGCAUCGCUGGAGUACGGCAGAGGGGGGAUGGAAUUCCGCGUGUAGCAGUGAAAUGCGUAGAUAUGCGGAGGAACACCGAUGGCGAAGGCAAUCCCCUGGGCCUGUACUGACGCCCCAUGCACGAAAGCGUGGGGGAGCAAACAGG